CGCCAGGACGAAAAGACCCCGUGAACCUUUACUGUAGGCUGGUAUUGGGUUCUAGUCAGGGAUGUGUAGCAUAGGUGGGAGGCUGUGAAGCCGGUACGCUAGUACUGGUGGAGCCAUCAGUGAAAUACCACUCUUGCCUUUCUGGGAUCCUAACCGCGAUAUCCGUGAAUCCGGACGCGGGACAGUGCUUGCUGGGCAGUUUGGCUGGGGCGGUCUCCUCCUAAAGAGUAACGGAGGAGCCCAAAGGCACCCUCAACGCGGUUGGUAAUCGCGUGUUGAGUGUAAAGGCAUAAGGGUGCUUGACUGCGAGACCUAUAAGUCGAGCAGAUGUGAAAGCAGGGCUUAGUGAUCCAGCGAUCCCGUGUGGAAGGGUCGUUCUAAACAGACAA
rnacentral:rRNA from 16 species